rnacentral:rRNA from 1 species
AACGAACGCUGGCGGCAUGCCUAACACAUGCAAGUCGAACGGAAAGGUCCUGCUUUUGUGGGGUGCUCGAGUUGAGACCGGGUGAGUUACCCGUGAGUAACCUGUACUUGACUUUGAGAUAACUUCAGACCACUGGGGCUCAUACCGCCUAGGAGCUCCCGCUGCUUGGUGGGCGUUGGUUAGAUUCGGCGGUUGGGGAUGGAAUCGCGGCUUAUCAGCUUGUUGGUGGGGUAGUGGCUUAGCAAGGCCUUGAAGGGUAGCAGGCCUGGGAGGGCGACCGGCCACACUGGGACGGGGAUACGGCCCAGACCCGUCCGGGAGGCAGAGGUGGAGAAUAGUGCACAAUGGGCGGGAGCCUGAUGCGGCAACGCCGCGUGCGGGAUGACGUCCAGGGGGUAGUAAUGCGCUGUCGCCUGUGACGAAGCGUGAGUGACGGUAACGGGUGAAGAAGCACCGGCUAACUACGUG